UGGGAAACUGGAGCUAAUACCGGAUACGCCCUUUUGGGGAAAGGUUUACUGCCGAAGGAUCGGCCCGCGUCUGAUUAGCUAGUUGGUGGGGUAACGGCCUACCAAGGCGACGAUCAGUAGCUGGUCUGAGAGGAUGAUCAGCCACACUGGGACUGAGACACGGCCCAGACUCCUACGGGAGGCAGCAGUGGGGAAUAUUGGACAAUGGGCGCAAGCCUGAUCCAGCCAUGCCGCGUGAGUGAUGAAGGCCUUAGGGUUGUAAAGCUCUUUUAUCCGGGACGAUAAUGACGGUACCGGAGGAAUAAGCCCCGGCUAACUUCGUGCCAGCAGCCGCGGUAAUACGAAGGUGGCUAGCGUUGCUCGGAAUCACUGGGCGUAAAGGGCGCGUAGGCGGCGUUUUAAGUCGGGGGUGAAAGCCUGUGGCUCAACCACAGAAUGGCCUUCGAUACUGGGACGCUUGAGUCUGGUAGAGGUUGGUGGAACUGCGAGUGUAGAGG
rnacentral:rRNA from 1 species